AUUUUUAAUUGACAUUUUGCGACCGAAAUAUUAAAUAAAUAAUGGAUAAUUGAUUAGACAUAAAUUGUAUACUUAUUACUGGUUAGAAAAAAAUCCUAAAUUUCGGAUCCUAUGUAAUCCUUUCACGGAACACCUUUUGGGAAUCGCUGAUCUAGAUAAUUUGCAGAAUAACUGCUUUUUGCGCAAAGUGGGAACACAUAAAUUUUUAUAUUCUUACUUAUUAUUGCAUUAAAGAAAAUUUUAAUUGAUUACAUACAUUCUUAUUUCAGUUAUUUGGUCUUAUAUUAACUGAAAUUGCUUCCCGCCUGCUGGAUGCUUGGGGACAGAGAUCAUCAAAUAUUGCCAUUGCUGUAUUCCUAUUUAUGAGUUCAUUAAUAACGAUUUUCAUCUCAUCAGAAUAUAAAAGAAAUAAGCGUCCCAUCAAAGAUUCUUUGAAACAUGAACAAGAAAAGACUUAUCAUUGAACAUUUAGAACAAGAUUCUGUAACUUACGACUAUUUCAAUUUAAAUAUUGAAUUUGUUUGGUUCAAAUAUUCACUAUUAAGUUAUGCUGAUUUUAUCCCUCAUUUAUUGUAAAUAAAACAUGCUUAAUAAUCUAAUAUACUGUCAUUGAAAUCGUAUUUAUUUAUAUAAUAAAUAAAAUAUCAUUCAAUAA